rnacentral:rRNA from 1 species
AUUGAACGCUGGCGGCAUGCCUUACACAUGCAAGUCGAACGGCAGCAUGAUCUAGCUUGCUAGAUUGAUGGCGAGUGGCGAACGGGUGAGUAAUACAUCGGAACGUGCCCUGUAGUGGGGGAUAACUAGUCGAAAGAUUAGCUAAUACCGCAUACGACCUGGGGGUGAAAGUGGGGGACCGCAAGGCCUCAUGCUAUAGGAGCGGCCGAUGUCUGAUUAGCUAGUUGGUGAGGUAAAGGCUCACCAAGGCGCCGAUCAGUAGCUGGUCUGAGAGGACGAUCAGCCACACUGGGACUGAGACACGGCCCAGACUCCUACGGGAGGCAGCAGUGGGGAAUUUUGGACAAUGGGCGAAAGCCUGAUCCAGCAAUGCCGCGUGUGUGAAGAAGGCCUUCGGGUUGUAAAGCACUUUUGUCCGGAAAGAAAUGGCUCUGGUUAAUACCUGGGGUCGAUGACGGUACCGGAAGAAUAAGGACCGGCUAACUACGUG